rnacentral:rRNA from 1 species
AGUGAACGCUGGCGGUAGGCCUAACACAUGCAAGUCGAACGGCAGCACAGUAAGAGCUUGCUCUUACGGGUGGCGAGUGGCGGACGGGUGAGGAAUACAUCGGAAUCUACUUUUUCGUGGGGGAUAACGUAGGGAAACUUACGCUAAUACCGCAUACGACCUACGGGUGAAAGAAGGGGAUCUUCGGACCUUGCGCGAUUGAAUGAGCCGAUGUCGGAUUAGCUAGUUGGCGGGGUAAAGGCCCACCAAGGCGACGAUCCGUAGCUGGUAUGAGAGGAUGAUCAGCCACACUGGAACUGAGACACGGUCCACACUCCUACGGGAGGCAGCAGUGUGGAAUAUUGGACAAUGGGCGCAAGCCUAAUCCAGCCAUACCGCGUGGGUGAAGAAGGCCUUCGGGUUGUAAAGCCCUUUUGUUGGGAAAGAAAAGCAGCAGGUUAAUACCCCGCUGUUCUGACGGUACCCAAAGAAUAAGCACCGGCUAACUUCGUG